GUGCUCACUUCAGCAGCACAUAUACUAAAAUUGGAAUGGUACUGAGAUUAGCAUGGCCCCUGCGCAACGAUGACAGGCAAAUUCACGAAGCAUUCCAUUAGGAA